AAUCGAACCCGGAGAUAGCUGGUUCUCCUCGAAAUAGCUUUAGGGCUAGCCUUGAGGGUCAUUAACGCAGGUAGAGCACUGAAUGGGCGCGGGGGCCACAAAGCCUACCAAACGCUAUCAAACUUCGAAUACCAUACAAUGCAGACCAUGGGAGUCAGUCCGCGAGAGAUAAGUUCCGCGGGCAAAAGGGGAACACCCCAGAUCAACCGCUAAGGUCCCCAAGUUCACGUUAAGUGGAGAAGGAUGUGGAAUUGCACAGACAACCAGGAUGUUGGCUCAGAAGCAGCCAUUCAUUUAAAGAGUGCGUAAUAGCUCACUGGUCGAGUGGUUGUGCGCCGAAGAUGUCCGGGGCUCAAACGUGACACCGAAGCGAUGGAUGCGCGCAAGCGCGUGGUAGAGGAGCAUUCUGUAUUGGGAGAAGCCAGAUCGAGAGGACUGGUGGACGGUACAGAAGAGAGAAUGCCGGUAUGAGUAGCGAGAGGCAUGCGAGAAACAUGCCCGUCGAAAGCCCAAGGUUUCCUGGGGAAGGUUCAUCCACCCAGGGUAAGUCGGGGCCUAAGCCGAGGACGGAAGUCGUAGGCGAUGGACAGCAGGUGUAGAUUCCUGCACUACCGAUGGAAUGAAGCAGUGACACAGAAGGAUAACUCGAGCAGGGUGAUGGUCAACCCUGUGCAAGCAUCAAGGUUGGGUUGUAGUGAAGUACGCAAUCCUAUAAGCUGAGGUGUGAUGCGGACCGAAAUUUCAGUAGGGAAGCGAGUGAGUUCACGCUGGCGAGAAAAGCUGCUGGUAUAUCCAAAGGUACCCGUACCGGAAACCGACGCAGGUGGGCGAGGAGAGAAUCCUGAGACGAACGGGAGAACCCUUGUUAAGGAACUCGGCAAAAUGACCCCGUAACUUCGGGAUAAGGGGUGCCUGCGAGAGCAGGCCGCAGAGAAUAGUCACAAGCGACUGUUUAGCAAAAACACAGGUAUCUGCGAAAGCGAGAGCUGACGUAUAGGUGCUGACGCCUGCCCGGUGCUGGAAGGUUAAGGGGAAGUGUUAGGGGGAACCCGAAGCAGAGAACCGAAGCCCCAGUAAACGGCGGCCGUAACUAUAACGGUCCUAAGGUAGCGAAAUUCCUUGUCGGGUAAGUUCCGACCCGCACGAAUGGUGUAACGACUUGUGAGCUGUCUCAACAGGGGGCCCGGUGAAAUUGAAGUAUGGGUGAAGAUGCCCAUUACCCGCGACUGGACGGAAAGACCCCGUAGAGCUUUACUGCAGCCUGAUAUUGAGUUUCGGUAACUGAUGCACAGGAUAGGUGGGAGUCUGAGAGACAUGGGUUUCGGCUCAUGUGGAGACGCUGUUGGGAUACCACUCUUCGGUUACUGAAAUUCUAACAUAGCUCUGUGAAACCAGAGGAUGGACAGUGUCAGGUGGACAGUUUGACUGGGGCGGUCGCCUCCGAAAGAGUAACGGAGGCGCCCAAAGGUACCCUCAGAAUGGAUGGAAACCAUUCGAAGAGCGCAAAGGCAGAAGGGUGCCUGACUGCGAGAGUGACAACUCGAGCAGAGACGAAAGUCGGGCUUAGUGAUCCGGCGGUAUUGAGUGGAAAAGCCGUCGCUUAACGGAUAAAAGCUACCUCGGGGAUAACAGGCUGAUCUCCCCCAAGAGUCCACAUCGACGGGGAGGUUUGGCACCUCGAUGUCGGCUCGUCGCAUCCUGGGGCUGAAGCAGGUCCCAAGGGUUUGGCUGUUCGCCAAUUAAAGCGGCACGCGAGCUGGGUUCAGAACGUCGUGAGACAGUUCGGUCCCUAUCCAUCGUGGGCGAAGGACACAUGAGAGGAGCUGCUCCUAGUACGAGAGGACCGGAGUGGACGCAUCACUGGUGCAACUGUUGUCGUGCCAACGGCACAGCAGGGAAGCGAAAUGCGGAUGGGAUAAACGCUGAAGGCAUCUAAGCGUGAAGCCCACCUCAAGAAUAAGUGU
rnacentral:rRNA from 1 species